rnacentral:rRNA from 1 species
AGGCUCAUUAAAUCAGGUAUGGUUCCUUGGAUCGUACAAUCCAUUACUUGGAUAACUGUGGUAAUUCUAGAGCUAAUACAUGCAAACAGAAUCCCGACCAGAGAUGGAAGGGACGCUUUUAUUAGAUCAAAACCAAUCGGGGCUUGCUCCGCACUUCUUGGUGACUCUGAAUAACUUUAAGCUGAUCGCACGGUCCUAGCACCGGCGACGCAUCUUUCAAAUGUCUGACUUAUCAACUGUCGAUGGUAGAUUCUGCGCCUACCAUGGUUGUAACGGGUAACGGGGAAUCAGGGUUCGAUUCCGGAGAGGGAGCCUGAGAAACGGCUACCACAUCCAAGGAAGGCAGCAGGCGCGCAAAUUACCCACUCCCGGCACGGGGAGGUAGUGACGAAAAAUAACGAUACGGGACUCAUCCGAGGCCCCGUAAUCGGAAUGAGUACACUUUAAAUCCUUUAACGAGUACCAAUUGGAGGGCAAGUCUGGUGCCAGCAGCCGCGGUAAUUCCAGCUCCAAUAGCGUAUAUUAAAGUUGUUGCGGUUAAAAAGCUCGUAGUUGGAUCUGUGUCUAACGGUGUCGGUUCACCGCUCGCGGUGUAACUGGCGCGCCGGUUGGACGUCCUGCCGGUGGCGGUCCGGGCUUUCGGCUGUGUAGGUUCGCCGAAGCAUGCCGUUUGUUCCGGCCGCCGAUUCAAUCCCGCCGCGGUGCUCUUAACUGAGUGUCGAGGUGGGCCGGCACGUUUACUUUGAACAAAUUAGAGUGCUUAAAGCAGGCUGAUUUCCGCCUGAAUACUGUGUGCAUGGAAUAAUGGAAUAGGACUUCGGUUCUAUUUUGUUGGUUUUAAGAAUCCGAAGUAAUGAUUAAUAGGGACAGGCGGGGGCAUUCGUAUUGCGACGUUAGAGGUGAAAUUCUUGGAUCGUCGCAAGACGUACCUAAGCGAAAGCAUUUGCCAAGUAUGUCCUCGUUAAUCAAGAACGAAAGUUAGAGGUUCGAAGGCGAUCAGAUACCGCCCUAGUUCUAACCAUAAACGAUGCCAGCCAGCGAUCCGCCAAAGUUCCUCCGAUGACUUGGCGGCAGCUUCCGGGAAACCAAAGCUUUUGGGUUCCGGGGAAAGUAUGGUUGCAAAGCUGAAACUUAAAGGAAUUGACGGAAGGGCACCACCAGGAGUGGAGCCUGCGGCUUAAUUUGACUCAACACGGGAAACCUCACCAGGCCCGGACACCGGAAGGAUUGACAGAUUGAUAGCUCUUUCUUGAUUCGGUGGGUGGUGGUGCAUGGCCGUUCUUAGUUGGUGGA